UAAGUCAUUUAGUUGUUCAACUCAAUGUUUCCGAGUUCUUAGCAUAUUUUGGACCCAAUUUCAACAAGUCUUUGUCCACACUUUUAAACACUCUUAAUGCAUCUCUAGAUAUUGUAAUCAAUUAAAUUUAUUCUAUUCUAACAUAUUAUAUCCCCAAAUAACACUAGAUAAGUCAUUUAGUGGUUUAACGCAAUGUUUCCGAGUUCUUAGCCCCUUUGGGACCCAAUUUCAACAAGUAUUUCUCCACACUUCUAAACACUCUUCAUGCAUCUCUAGUACUUUUAAUUAAUCAUAUUUAUUAUAUUAUAACAUAUUCUAACCCCAAACAACACUAGAUAAGUCAUUUAGUGCUUCAACUCAAUGUUUCCGAGUUCUUAGCCCAUUUGGGACCCAAUUUCAAUAAGUCUUUCUCCACACUUCUAAACACUCUUCAUGCAUCUCUAGAACUUGUAAUCAAUCAAAUUUAUUGUAUCCUAACCCUAAACAACACUAGAUAAGUCAUUUAGUGCUUCAACGCAAUGUUUCCGAGUUCUUAACCUAUUUUUGAUCCAAUUUCAACAAGUCUUUCUCCACACUCCUAAACACUUUUCAU
rnacentral:lncRNA from 1 species